rnacentral:rRNA from 1 species
AUGCUUACCGAGCGGUAGAGAUUCUUCGGAAUCUUGAGAGCGGCGCACGGGUGCGGAACACGUGUGCAACCUGCCUUUAUCUUGGGGGAUAGCCUUUCGAAAGGGAGAUUAAUACCCCAUAAUAUAAUGAGUGGCAUCGCUUAUUAUUGAAAACUCCGGUGGAUAGAGAUGGGCACGCGCAAGAUUAGAUAGUUGGUGAGGUAACGGCUCACCAAGUCAAUGAUCUUUAGGGGGCCUGAGAGGGUGAUCCCCCACACUGGUACUGAGACACGGACCAGACUCCUACGGGAGGCAGCAGUGAGGAAUAUUGGACAAUGGGUGAGAGCCUGAUCCAGCCAUCCCGCGUGAAGGACGACGGCCCUAUGGGUUGUAAACUUCUUUUGUACAGGGAUAAACCUUUCCACGUGUGGAAAGCUGAAGGUACUGUACGAAUAAGCACCGGCUAACUCCGUGCCAGCAGCCGCGUGUAAUACGGAGGGUGCAAGACGAUUAUCCGGAUUAUAUUAGGGUUUCAAAGGGUCCCGAUAGGCGGAUCUGUUAAGUCAAGUGGUGAAAUCUCAUAGCUUA